CGUUCUUCUGUCCGCGGCGAGCAGUGCGUGCGCGAGUGUAUUUAAUAAUAAUAGAGACUGUAGGUGGUAGGUGGUGUAUGUAUUGACGUUUAAGUUGAAUACACGCACAGACGAACACCAUUGCUGUGCUAUCGCUCUGUGCGCCCACCACGCUGUUAUUGUACGUUGAUGAGAGACGAUGAGAGCAAAAACAAGACAAAUGUGGUUGGGUCCGAUGUUAUGCCGAUCACCCGCUACUAUUCUCGUCGGAUGUCGGGAAUCGCGGGAUAUCGCUCAUGAUAUGUCGUAUUUUAUCAUCGCAUUAUAAUAUGUCGCGGGAGCGUCAAUACUCAAUGGUAUUGACUAUUGGAUUAGUACGGCGAGUAUGAGUAGUAUCACGCUGUCGACGCACUGCGAGCAGCAGGGUGGCACAUAAAAAUAAAAAUAAAACAACGUUUACUCAGAUAAUAUGUGUUAGGCAUGAUCUGCAUCAAUGUGAUGGCCGGAGGAGAAGGCGACGGAAAUUUGACGCGGAUAUCGAUGAUGCGAUGAGGCGAUUAUUGCAUCCAACCGGGUUCAUACAGUGGGGCAAAUUUUAUUCAAAACGAUUUCUUGGGCCAACGAAGGUUAGAACAUACUUUAAACAAACCACCAUGGUUGAAAUGUUGGCUCAGCUAGCCUCUUGGUAUACGUAUAAUAUUGUGCGUUUCUCCUAUACUGACAUACUGCAGCUGUAAUACAUAUAUAUCUAAUAAAUUCGAUAAACCGAGUCCGAAUUAAUUAGCAAUUUAUUAUGACCUGCAGCGGGGCAAAUAUGAUGGGUGGUCAGAGACCCCAAAAAUCUCUAGAUAAUGGUCCCGGCCAAUAGGAAUACAAUUUAUACUCCUAAAACGAUCAACAUUUAAUUUUUAAACAAUAUUCUGUUAGUCUUCUGAACAUUUUUCUUAUUUAAGUCACUGCAGGUUAUUCCCAAUGGAAAUUAUAUUAAAAUAUGAUGAUAGUAGUACUUAAUGAUGACAGCUUAAGUCCCCGCGCUCUCCGAAAUGUCAAACGAUUUUCGGUGUAAUAAUUCUUCACGACGACCUCCCAUUUUAUCUAUGUAAAAAUGUCUCAGCCCGUAAAAAUGUAUAAAAUAAAAUAUUACCUACCAUUGCCUGGUAGUUUUCACCUAUAUCAGCUAAUAGCUAUUGGUUAAUUCUGUUUCAUAGGACAUUUUAAGACGACGGCUGCAGCGUCAAUUUGCAGGCAGUUCAUUAUGUGUACCUAUACCUAAUUGUAUUAAUAUAUUGCGAAAUGCGACUAUAUCGAAAUUGAACACAUUAUCGUUCUUUGUUCUUGGCGGGUAUAUUUUUAAUAAUUGUCACUGGUGUAUUUUUAUUACAGUAAUGUACUUAUACUAUAGUGUAUAUUCAAAUACUACAGUUGUAUACCUAUUUACUUAUUGUAACGGUACCUAUACACUUAUCAUAUUACCUAUAUUUAGCAUUUUUAAAUAGAGGUAGUGAAUGUCAAUAGCUAACACUACUUUAAAUUUCUGUUUUUGUUAGUAGUUAUUUUUUAUUUAAUGUUAUUCUGCAGUUAACUAUGGUGUAUGUACCGAGGUACCUAUAUUAUCCACCAGUCAAAUAAUCCAAAAUGACCUAAGUAUGAUUAACUUAUGAACAAAUCAAUGGAAAAUAAAAAAACAAAGAAAACAAGUCCACUCUUGUAAUUUUCACAAUGCGUAAAUCUGAUUACCCACCUGUCACGUUCGACAACAAAGUUAUUCCAUCAAAAAACGAAAUAAAAUACCUAGGGUUAAUAUUUGAUGAAUGUCUCAACUGGAGCUCGCAUUCAAAACACAAACGCAAAUUUAUUAACUCUAGAGUUCUAGACUGCAUCUCCUGAGAGCCCUUUUAAAAUCAAAAC